rnacentral:rRNA from 1 species
AACGAACGCUGGCGGCAGGCCUAAUACAUGCAAGUCGAACGGCAGCACAGCAGAGCUUGCUCUGUGGGUGGCGAGUGGCGGACGGGUGAGGAAUACGUGGGAAUCUGCCCAGUCGUGGGGGAUAACGUAGGGAAACUUACGCUAAUACCGCAUGCGCCCUUCGGGGAAAGCCGGGGACCUUCGGGCCUGGCGCGAUUGGAUGAGCCCACGUCGGAUUAGCUAGUUGGCGGGGUAAAGCCCACCAAGGCGACGAUCCGUAGCUGGUCUGAGAGGAUGAUCAGCCACACUGGAACUGAGACACGGUCCAGACUCCUACGGGAGGCAGCAGUAGGGAAUAUUGGACAAUGGGCGCAAGCCUGAUCCAGCCAUGCCGCGUGAGUGAAGAAGGCCCUCGGGUUGUAAAGCUCUUUUGUCCGGAAAGAAAAGCGCCGGGUUAAUACCCUGGUGUCCUGACGGUACCGGAAGAAUAAGCACCGGCUAACUUCGUGCCAGCAGCCGCGGUAAU